GUACGCUCUGAUAAAUUCAAGUAAAGAGAAACUCUGAAGACAGUCAGCAACAAGCAUCUUCUGAAGUUACAAUCGCUUAAUGAAGACUCUGACUCUAGGAUCCUCUGAUUCAGAAAAGCUUAACCUUGAAGAAACUCGCUUAUGGAAAGAAUCUAUUUUUAGAAGGAUGUUAUGGCGCUCCAAAUAUUGCUUUGGAAAGAACACGGAGAUUAAUGACAU
rnacentral:lncRNA from 1 species